CUUAACACAUGCAAGUCGAGGGGCAGCAUGGUCUUUUCUUGCUAAGGCCGAUGGCGACCGGCGCACGGGUGAGUAACACGUAUCCAACCUGCCGUCUACUCUUGGACAGCCUUCUGAAAGGAAGAUUAAUACAAGAUGGCAUCAUGAGUCCGCAUGUUCACAUGAUUAAAGGUAUUCCGGUAGACGAUGGGGAUGCGUUCCAUUAGAUAGUAGGCGGGGUAACGGCCCACCUAGUCUUCGAUGGAUAGGGGUUCUGAGAGGAAGGUCCCCCACAUUGGAACUGAGACACGGUCCAAACUCCUACGGGAGGCAGCAGUGAGGAAUAUUGGUCAAUGGGCGAGAGCCUGAACCAGCCAAGUAGCGUGAAGGAUGACUGCCCUAUGGGUUGUAAACUUCUUUUAUAAAGGAAUAAAGUCGGGUAUGGAUACCCGUUUGCAUGUACUUUAUGAAUAAGGAUCGGCUAACUCCGUGCCAGCAGCCGCGGUAAUACGGAGGAUCCGAGCGUUAUCCGGAUUUAUUGGGUUUAAAGGGAGCGUAGAUGGAUGUUUAAGUCAGUUGUGAAAGUUUGCGGCUCAACCGUAAAAUUGCAGUUGAUACUGGAUAUCUUGAGUGCAGUUGAGGCAGGCGGAAUUCGUGGUGUAGCGGUGAAAUGCUUAGAUAUCACGAAGAACUCCGAUUGCGAAGGCAGCCUGCUAAGCUGCAACUGACAUUGAGGCUCGAAAGUGUGGGUAUCAAACAGGAUUAGAUACCCUGGUAGUCCACACGGUAAACGAUGAAUACUCGCUGUUUGCGAUAUACUGCAAGCGGCCAAGCGAAAGCGUUAAGUAUUCCACCUGGGGAGUACGCCGGCAACGGUGAAACUCAAAGGAAUUGACGGGGGCCCGCACAAGCGGAGGAACAUGUGGUUUAAUUCGAUGAUACGCGAGGAACCUUACCCGGGCUUAAAUUGCAGAUGAAUUACGGUGAAAGCCGUAAGCCGCAAGGCAUCUGUGAAGGUGCUGCAUGGUUGUCGUCAGCUCGUGCCGUGAGGUGUCGGCUUAAGUGCCAUAACGAGCGCAACCCUUGUUGUCAGUUACUAACAGGUUCCGCUGAGGACUCUGACAAGACUGCCAUCGUAAGAUGUGAGGAAGGUGGGGAUGACGUCAAAUCAGCACGGCCCUUACGUCCGGGGCUACACACGUGUUACAAUGGGGGGUACAGAGGGCCGCUACCACGCGAGUGGAUGCCAAUCCCCAAAACCUCUCUCAGUUCGGACUGGAGUCUGCAACCCGACUCCACGAAGCUGGAUUCGCUAGUAAUCGCGCAUCAGCCACGGCGCGGUGAAUACGUUCCCGGGCCUUGUACACACCGCCCGUCAAGCCAUGGGAGCCGGGGGUACCUGAAGUGCGUAACCGCGAGGAGCGCCCUAGGGUAAAACUGGUGACUGGGGCUAAA
rnacentral:rRNA from 1 species